UUUCCCAGUACUUUUCCAUAGCCUUUCCUUAACCAGAAAGACAAAACAAAUUCCAGAGCUCCAAGCCCCAGGAGGUACAAGGCUCCAGGGCUGUCUUGGUUCUUCCUGGGAACCAAGGCUGAGAACAACUCUUUGAGAUACAUUCUCAUGGACAAAGUACAGCUAGUGCCGAAGGGAGGGACUCCAGAGAAGGGUUUGACCUGGGGGGGAACUGCAUCAUCACUUGCCCUCCUAAUUGGUGCUUUUUAUCAAUUAUGCUAAUUUCCUAAAACCUAUAAAAAUGUACUCAUCCCUGUGGGGGUGGGCUUUUGUGGACAUCUUUCCAUAACAGCCUGUGAAGGCCUUCAAAUAAAGAUCCUCUUUUAUAUUCCUUACUAAAAUUAUCUCGAGUUUCAUUUCCAGGUUGGGCAAAAUUUAUUCUGAUAAAACCCAGACGGGAUGGGAGAACCUGGUAUGGUUCUUCCGGACCGAGAACAUCCUGCAAGGAAUUCUUUCCUGCUGGCAAUCUUGAGAAUUCCGGGCAGCGGCCAGAGGAUGAGACACCACGGCUCCGAGAUCCCGCAGGAGGAAGGAUCCACUGGAAUUUUGAAAAAGGAGAAAAACAGAUAGGAUGGUUUUCUGAAUUGAAAAUUUAAAGUACCUUCUCCUGCAUCCCUGUGAAUAAGAAAGGCCAAGGACCCUCUGCUAUUACAUGGAAGAAUCCUGAAAUAAGGAAAAAAGAGUCAGUUCACCAAGACAGUGCUGCCAGAGGGUUUAAGGCAAGCCCAACUAUAUUAAGAAAUCAGCUGGCAAAGGAACUAGAGAACUGGAGAAGUCAGCAACUGAGAAUUGACGCAUCCAAUCAGCAGCCAAGAAUUGAUACAUGCAACAGUUGCAUGCAACCCACUGUAAGUUUGUUCUGUGAACAUCGGAGACAUGUACCCUAUGCCGUGUUACUGAAACAGAGGAAGCCUAUUCCAGCAGACCAGACCUGAAGGAUGUGCCAGACUGGGAGCUGCAUGCCGAUGAGAGCAGCUCCAUGCGAGAUGGCAAACAGGUGACAAGUUAUGCAGUGACAAUCACGAACCAGGUAAUCAGGGAAAAGGCCUUGCCAUCAAAUGUAUCAUCACAAAAGGCUGAACUGAUUACAUCAAUGGAAGAUCUAAAACUGAGCAAAGUCAUCAGGAAGGAAAGAAGACUGGCAAACUAUUCAAGGUAAUAGAACUGAACACUCUGAACAGAUCAAUGCACUACUACAGAAUAUUUGGGAAUGUAGAGAAGCAGCUUUUAUGCAUUUCAAAGCUCAUCAAAACGGAAAACAACUCCUGAAUUAAAGAAUCAUUUUGCUGAUAAAAUAGUAAAAGGGGCUGCAGAAAAAGGCAUCUUAACAGUGGUGCCACAGAAGGAAAUCAAUUUGUUAAGGUUUGCCCCAAAGUGUGAUCCAAAGGACCAUCAGUUUUCUGGCAAAAAGGCUGAAAUCAAGGAAAGUGAACAGGCUAUUACACCAGAAACAACCCAAACAUGGGCAAAAGAGUUGUGUUAAAAAUAACAGAGCCAAGAGAUUUUUCUGGAGAUUAUUGACAAAUAGAUUCUUCUGAGUUACCAAGCAAAGAAAGAAACAGGAAUGUGUUUGUGUUAGUUCACACCUUUAGUGGAACAUCUAAAGCUUACCCGUCACACUAACACUGAGGGAGGUGGUGAAAGUUUUUCUCAAUCAUAUAAUUCCAAAAGUUUGGGGUUCCUUAGGGGUUGGUUCCCCAGUGAUCAGGGAAACUGGUCAAAUGUUGGAAAUUGUUUGAGGUCUGUAAAUUCCCUAUAUAUCCCAAAUGAGUAGUAAAGCUGAGUCUGUGAAUGGAACCCUCAGAACACAGAUUAGUAAUAUUUGUCAGAAAUGUUCAUGACAUGGGUUCAAGUCUUGCCUAUAGCCUUGCUGAGAAUCUGCAUGCAAUCAAGGCAGAGCCAACAUGAACCCUUAUGAAAUAUUGCAUGGCAGGACAUACCAAAUUGUGUAUGUUAUGGGAG